UUUUGUCUUUAUUUCUGAUCCUUCUCAAGUUUAUAUUUGUGUAAAGUGUCUUUGUUGGAAAAGUAAAACUGUUCUUGCAGGCUUAAGAAGUGACAGCUGCAGAAAGAAGAAACGGAAAGAAGACUGCCACAGAUUUGCAAUCUUCCAGAACCCAAGCAGUCGUAAUGAGACAUAAAAAGAACAUUUAUGAUCUAAAACCACAGCCAGUGAACUGGUAGGAAAAAUGCUUGCAGCUGAGCUAAAUAUUAAACCGCAGAGCAAACAAGGCGGCCAUCAGCAGAAGCCUUCAGCUGAGUCAACUGGACAACGUGGCUGGGAAUGACAUCAGUAAGGAAACAUGCUGCUAUGAUCCCCAUCAUCAACAACAUGUUGCAGACAGAAUAAACAUGCCACUGAUAACUCUGCAUUCUAUUCUGUCUACACGAGGAACAUUCUUUAGUCUUUUGGUCAGUCAGUGUUGCUAUUUCAGUGACUGAUCAUGAGUUAAACAGCAUG